GCUAUGUAGCUCAGUUGGUUAGAGCAUCGCACUCAUAAUGCGGGGGUCACAGGUUCGAAUCCCGUCAUAGCC
rnacentral:tRNA from 6 species